AACGAACGCUGGCGGCAUGCCUAACACAUGCAAGUCGAACGAAACCUUCGGGCUUAGUGGCGCACGGGUGCGUAACGCGUGGGAAUCUGCCCUUGGGUUCGGAAUAACAGUUAGAAAUGACUGCUAAUACCGGAUAAGCCCUUACGGGGAAAGAUUUAUCGCCGAAAGAUCGGCCCGCGUCUGAUUAGCUUGUUGGUGAGGUAACGGCUCACCAAGGCGACGAUCAGUAGCUGGUCUGAGAGGAUGAUCAGCCACAUUGGGACUGAGACACGGCCCAAACUCCUACGGGAGGCAGCAGUGGGGAAUAUUGGACAAUGGGCGCAAGCCUGAUCCAGCCAUGCCGCGUGAGUGAUGAAGGCCCUAGGGUUGUAAAGCUCCUUUAACGGGGAAGAUAAUGACGGUACCCGUAGAAUAAGCCCCGGCUAACUUCGUG
rnacentral:rRNA from 1 species